CACUUAACCGACUGCGCCACCCAGGUGCCCCAAAGUUUAUUUAUAUAGAUGAUACCUGAAAACUGACUUGAAAAACAGAAAAGCAAGCUCUUGUCACCCCAGCCUCCUAUGGUCCAAAGGGUGAAACCUAACUUCUCAUAUAAGGUCCAACAAAUUUUUCCUUUGUCUCCCAGUGUACCCUGUGCUGUCUUGUACUAUAUUGAUUCCUGCUGCUGGGCCUUUGCACAUGUUCUUCCCUUUGCUUAAAGAGAACACAGGAAAUUCAGGCCCAAAUUCAAAUUCCCUGUACUCUGUUAAGCCUUCCUUGCCUCUAUUAGGCAUACUAGCGCCUUCCUCUGUUCUCAUUAAUGCUGUGCUGUAAUUUUUAUUUUAUUUUACUUUUUUUUAUUUUAGAGAGAGAAUCUUCAGUGGGUUCCAUGUAGAGCCUGAUGUAGGGCUCAAUCCCAUGACCCUGGGAUCAUGACCUGAGAUGAAAUCAAGAGUCGGAUGCUCAACUGACUGAGCCACCCAGGCGCCCCUGUGCUGUAAUUUUUAAUUAGUUUUCAUCUCAGCUAAACUCCAGGGUGUCCUUGCCUGCCCUGAUGGCCCACUGAGAGGUUGCUGAGGGGAUUCUUGGAGCAUCAAAUUCCAAAGAGCUUGAGUCAGAAGAAGCUUUGCAGCCCAGGGCUGACUUUGAAGGAAGAGGGAGCAGGGGCGGCUGAUGUUACAGGUCUAAAUGUUGGACGAAGCUAUUCAUGGGCAGCUCCUUUAUGUCCUGCCAUCAUCAAAAGUAGGCCGCUGAUUGCUGGUAUGUAUAUUUUAUUUUCACCUCACCCUGGACCCAAGAGUGUUUUUUGAUGCUCUUUGGUGGCUGUCCUCGUUCUUUAUCAUGAAGAUCAUAUAUCUCUGUGUGGCUAUUUGCUUCCAGGACUUUGGCAACUGCUCCUAAUCCUGGAGUCCCCUCUUCAGACACCUGGUCUGUUAACCUGAAGACCCUUUUCAUUUUAUGUGUGUAUGUAUGUUUGUAUGUCUGUAUAUAUUAGGCUCCACACCCAACCUGGGGCUUGAACUCAUGACUCUGAGAUCAAGGGUCACAUGCUUUACUGACUGGGCCAGGCAGGUACCCCCUGAAGACCCUUUUUAAAGGUCAUCUUUUGUGUGGACAUAUUGGGUUCACAUUUGGUCGUGUUCUCACUCACUGAUACCAACAGUGGUAAUCAACUGGUGUAAUGCUGACCAAAAAAAUGUGUCAGUUGUGGAAGUGUUUGUAAUACUGAGCAGAGGGAAACAAUUUAAAUUUUAUUAAUAUGGGAUUGCUAAAGAAAGCCUGG